rnacentral:rRNA from 1 species
AAAGGGUGACGAAGCGACGCCGCGUGUGGGAAGAAGGCCUUCGGGUUGUAAACCACUGUCGGGAGUUAAGAAGUGUAAGGGUGUUAAGAGCAUCCUUGCUUGACGUUAGCUCCGGAGGAAGCCACGGCUAACUCUGUGCCAGCAGCCGCGGUAAUACAGAGGUGGCAAGCGUUGUUCGGAAUUAUUGGGCGUAAAGAGCACGUAGGCGGCCCUGCAAGUCAGCUGUGAAAUCCUUCUGCUCAACGGAAGAACGGCAGUUGAUACUACAGGGCUCGAGUGCGGGAGGGGAGAGUGGAACUUCUGGUGGAGCGGUGAAAUGCGUAGAUAUCAGAAGGAACAUCGGCGGCGAAAGCGACUCUCUGGCCCGUAACUGACGCUGAGGUGCGAAAGCUAGGGGAGCAAACGGGAUUAGAUACCCCGGUAGUCCUAGCCGUAAACGAUGGGCACUAAGUAGAGGGGUUU